AUUGAACGCUGGCGGCAUGCCUUACACAUGCAAGUCGAACGGCAGCACGGGGGCAACCCUGGUGGCGAGUGGCGGACGGGUGAGUAAUGCAUCGGAACGUGCCCUGAAGUGGGGGAUAACGCAGCGAAAGCUACGCUAAUACCGCAUAUUCUGUGAGCAGGAAAGCAGGGGAUCGCAAGACCUUGCGCUUUGGGAGCGGCCGAUGUCGGAUUAGCUAGUUGGUGGGGUAAAGGCCUACCAAGGCGACGAUCCGUAGCGGGUCUGAGAGGAUGAUCCGCCACACUGGGACUGAGACACGGCCCAGACUCCUACGGGAGGCAGCAGUGGGGGAAUUUUUGGGACAAUGGGCGAAAGCCUGAUCCAGCCAUGCCGCGUGAGUGAAGAAGGCCUUCGGGUUCGG
rnacentral:rRNA from 1 species